AGCGAACGCUGGCGGCAGGCCUAACACAUGCAAGUCGAACGAACCUUUCGGGGUUAGUGGCGGACGGGUGAGUAACACGUGGGAACGUGCCUUUAGGUUCGGAAUAACUCAGGGAAACUUGUGCUAAUACCGAAUGUGCCCUUCGGGGGAAAGAUUAAUCGCCUUUAGAGCGGCCCGCGUCUGAUUAGCUAGUUGGUUGAGGUAAUGGCUCACCAAGGCGACGAUCAGUAGCUGGUCUGAGAGGAUGAUCAGCCACAUUGGGACUGAGACACGGCCCAAACUCCUACGGGAGGCAGCAGUGGGGAAUCUUGCGCAAUGGGCGAAAGCCUGACGCAGCCAUGCCGCGUGAAUGAUGAAGGUCUUAGGAUUGUAAAAUUCUUUCACCGGGGACGAUAAUGACGGUACCCGGAGAAGAAGCCCCGGUUAACUUCGUG
rnacentral:rRNA from 1 species